rnacentral:misc_RNA from 1 species
UUAAGUUCAGCGGGUAUCCCUACCUGAUCCGAGGUCAACCAUAAAAAAAUUGGUGGUUGUCUGGCAAGCACCGCCAGGUCUCCAGAGCGAGAGAUUGUUACUACGCUUAGAGCCGAGACGGCACCGCCACUAAUUUUAAGGCCUGCCGCGAUGGCGUAGCCCAAUACCAAGCAGAGCUUGAGGGUUGAAAUGACGCUCGA